AGCGACUUCCUCCUACUCUCCGCCCCCGCCUCUCUACCCCCUGCUACAAUGUCUUCCGGGUCGCGAUCGCCUCGGAGCCUUCUGGGAAACCAUCUCAUUUCCUCCCCUCCCCCUCCUCCUGCCUUCAACCAACCAGCCUCCCGUCAGAGAGGGACAUGCGCAGUGAGUGCCUCCCGUCUCUUCUACCCGAACCCCCCUCCCCCCCCAAGCAGAGAGACCCCAGCAGCAGCAGCAGCUGAUGAUGAAGAGAGAGGCAGUGGCAGAGGGGGGGCACCUUUUAUUUCUAUUUUUAAAGGGACAGGACACUAAUUUUACCCCACUUCAACCUUGAAUUGAGGGGGGUGGGGGGAAGGCGGCUGAGUUCCUUCCCCCACCCUCCAGCCCUGAGACCUGAGAGGGGGAUUGAGCCUGAGAGAGGAGAAGGAGUUUCUUCUUCUUCGAAAACCCCCAUCCACGACUCCUACCCCCUCACCCCUCCACUAGCCUCUCUCCCGAGCCCCCUCCAUCCUCCUCCUCUUUGGCCGUGAGAGGAGAGAAAGAGACCAAAAGCCUCUUAGCAACACAGACCCUUCUCUGCUGUUGCUGCUGCUGCUGCUACUGCUGCUGCUGCUUGGCCCUGGCUGGAGACAUCUCACUACACCCAGGAGCAGCCACUUCCCCAGCUCUCCUCCUCCUUCGCCUCCUCCUCCUCCUCCACUCCCCCCCCCCCUUUAUUACCCUUUGUGUCAUCCUCCACAGCUCCAGGGAAGGCACUCAAAAGUGGGGGGCAGAAAAGAUGAGAAAACUAAGAUCCAGAGAACUGAAGACUUUACCAUGUCCUUGAUCUCAUUGCUAGUAGAUGAUUAUUGAGGAUAUCAGUUUCUGCAUGUGGGAAGUAGAUAUUGAAGGUUAUCUGGUUUACAGACAGGAUCUUUAAAAAAUAGACACUGAAGGACUAGGAAAAUAAAUACCAGAAGACAAGAACACAGAAUAUUUUCCUUCAUCAAUCCAUAGAAGCAUAAUCCUCCUCUAAUUUCAUCAAACACAAAGGAAUGAGUACCUUGACAGAUGGCCACAGAGAAUGUCAACAAUUUUUU